UACGUAGGGCGCAAGCGUUGUCCGGAAUUAUUGGGCGUAAAGAGCUCGUAGGCGGCUUGUCACGUCGGUUGUGAAAGCCCGGGGCUCAACCCCGGGAGGCGGGUGGAUACUGCUGAGCUUGAGUCCGGAAGAGGCGAGUGGAAUUCCAGGUGUAGCGGUGAAAUGCGUAGAUAUCUGGAGGAACACCGGUGGCGAAGGCGGCAUCCUGGACCGGCAUUGACGCUGAGGAGCGAAAGCCAGGGGAGCAAACAGG
rnacentral:rRNA from 1 species